GAAAUGCGAUAAGUAGUGUGAAUUGCAGAAUUCAGUGAAUCAUCGAAUCUUUGAACGCACAUUGCGCCCUUUGGUAUUCCUUAGGGCAUGCCUGUUCGAGCGUCAUUUGAAACCUCAAGCUCAGCUUGGUGUUGGGUGUCUGUCCCCGCCUCACCGCGGGGACUCGCCUCAAAAUCAUUGGCGGCCGGUACGUUGGCUUCGAGCGCAGCAGAAACGCGAACUCGAGGCCCGGCGGAUCGGCGACCAGAAGUCACUUCUUCACAGUUUGACCUCGGAUCAGGUAGGGAUACCCGCUGAACUUAA
rnacentral:misc_RNA from 1 species